rnacentral:rRNA from 1 species
UACGUAGGGUGCAAGCGUUAAUCGGAAUUACUGGGCGUAAAGCGUACGCAGGCGGCUUUGCAAGACAGGUGUGAAAUCCCCGGGCCUAACCUGGGGAACUGCAUUUGUGACUGCAUGGCUAGAGUUUGUCAGAGGGGGGUGGAAUUCCACGUGUAGCAGUGAAAUGCGUAGAUAUGUGGAGGAACACCGAUGGCGAAGGCAGCCCCCCUGGGAUGUGACUGACGCUCAUGUACGAAAGCGUGGGGAGCAAACAGG